AGCCCUCCUAUUAAGCUCAGUUCAAGUGUAUCAGUGAAGUAGAAUAUAUCUGUAGGUUUUCAAAGCCCUGAGAUCUUUGGAAAAAAUCUUUUAAAUUGUUUGUGCCUGGGUGCCUUCAAGGGCGAAAUUCGAGUUAGACAAGCCAACUCCUUGGACCUCUCUGGACAUCUCCUUCUCUCAUUCCAAAUUCCAACAGGCAUCCUUCACCUCAGCUACAUGCUAAGCGGGCCCGAGAACGUCCUGAAAUCCUCUUCCCAAGUCAAGGCUGAUGUUAUUUCAAAGAAAAGCAAAUCAACUUUCAGAUCUCUAACUCUGCCAGGGAUCUGAGACAUUGACCUACUGAUGAGUCCAUGCCCCUGCCUGGGGCUGGCUCCUACUUGACCUGUAACCAAUGACCGGGCAGAGAAUAAAUAAUCUGCAG